rnacentral:rRNA from 1 species
CAAGCCCUGGAAACGGGGUCUAAUACCGGAUAUGACUACCGGCCGCAUGGUCUGGUGGUGGAAAGCUCCGGCGGUGCAGGAUGAGCCCGCGGCCUAUCAGCUUGUUGGUGGGGUGAUGGCCUACCAAGGCGACGACGGGUAGCCGGCCUGAGAGGGCGACCGGCCACACUGGGACUGAGACACGGCCCAGACUCCUACGGGAGGCAGCAGUGGGGAAUAUUGCACAAUGGGCGAAAGCCUGAUGCAGCGACGCCGCGUGAGGGAUGACGGCCUUCGGGUUGUAAACCUCUUUCAGCAGGGGAGAAGCCUUUGGGUGACGGUACCUGAAGAAGAAGCACCGGCUAACUACGUGCCAGCAGCCGCGGUAAUACGUAGGGUGCAAGCGUUGUCCGGAAUUAUUGGGCGUAAAGAGCUCGUAGGCGGCUUGUUGCGUCGGAUGUGAAAGCCCGGGGCUUAACCCCGGGUCUGCAUUCGAUACGGGCAGGCUAGAGUUUGGUAGGGGAGAUCGGAAUUCCUGGU